GAUGAACGCUAGCGUCAGGCCUAAUACAUGCAAGUCGGACGGGAUUCAGGAGCUUGCUUCUGAUGAGAGUGGCGCACGGGUGCGUAACACGUAUGUAACCUACCUUUAUCAGGGGGAUAGCCUCUCGAAAGAGAGAUUAAGCCCGCAUAAAAUCACAGCACAGCAUUGUGUAAUGAUCAAAUAUUUAUAGGAUAAAGAUGGGCAUGCGGAACAUUAGCUAGAUGGCGGGGUAACGGCCCACCAUGGCGACGAUGUUUAGGGGAUCUGAGAGGAUGGCCCCCCACACUGGUACUGAGACACGGACCAGACUCCUACGGGAGGCAGCAGUAAGGAAUAUUGGUCAAUGGGCGGAAGCCUGAACCAGCCAUGCCGCGUGCAGGAAGACGGCCCUACGGGUUGUAAACUGCUUUUAUACGGGAAUAAACCCAGAUACGUGUAUCUGGCUGAAUGUACUGUAAGAAUAAGGAUCGGCUAACUCCGUG
rnacentral:rRNA from 1 species